UACAGAGGGUGCGAGCGUUAAUCGGAAUUACUGGGCGUAAAGCGCACGUAGGCGGCUUUGCAAGUCAGAUGUGAAAUCCCCGGGCUUAACCUGGGAACUGCAUUUGAGACUGCAUUGCUAGAGUAUGGGAGAGGGAAGUGGAAUUUCCGGUGUAGCGGUGAAAUGCGUAGAUAUCGGAAGGAACAUCAGUGGCGAAAGCGACUUCCUGGACCAAUACUGACGCUCAUGUGCGAAAGCGUGGGGAG
rnacentral:rRNA from 1 species